rnacentral:rRNA from 1 species
AUCGCCGCGUGAGGGAUGACGGCCUUCGGGUUGUAAACCUCUUUUAGCAGGGAAGAAGCGAAAGUGACGGUACCUGCAGAAAAAGCGCCGGCUAACUACGUGCCAGCAGCCGCGGUAAUACGUAGGGCGCAAGCGUUAUCCGGAAUUAUUGGGCGUAAAGAGCUCGUAGGCGGUUUGUCGCGUCUGCUGUGAAAUCCCGAGGCUCAACCUCGGGUCUGCAGUGGGUACGGGCAGACUAGAGUGCGGUAGGGGAGAUUGGAAUUCCUGGUGUAGCGGUGGAAUGCGCAGAUAUCAGGAGGAACACCGAUGGCGAAGGCAGAUCUCUGGGCCGUAACUGACGCUGAGGAGCGAAAGGGUGGGGAGCAAACAGGCUUAGAUACCCUGGUAGUCCACCCCGUAAACGUUGGGAACUAGUUGUGGGGUCCAUUCCACGGAUUCCGUGACGCAGCUAACGCAUUAAGUUCCCCGCCUGGGGAGUACGGCCGCAAGGCUAAAACUCAAAUGAAUUGACGGA